AGAAGCAAUAGGAGAUAUAUCUCUUAUUACAUUAAGUCUCCUAUUGCUUCUGUUUCUCUGGAGAACUCUAAUACAUAAAAGAUUAUGAUUAGAAUUAUGCUUGAAGAAGGUUAAUCUUAUAAUGGCAUGCAGAGCGGAGCUGGGCAAGGCCAGAGGCUAAAUAUGGAGCCAGAAAGAUACUGCAGAAAGUGAGCAAAAAGGAUGAGUGGAUGGCCUGGGGUGGAAUCCGUGAAAAAGGGCAGAUUGUCAGUCUCAGGAAAUCAACAGGACUGAGUUCUAACUUCAGCUGGGC
rnacentral:lncRNA from 10 species